GAGUUUGAUCGUGGCUCAGGACGAACGCUGGCGGCGUGCUUAACACAUGCAAGUCGAACGAGAAUCACUGGAAGGAGUUUUCGGACAACGGAAGGUGAGGACAGUGGCGGACGGGUGAGUAACGCGUGAGGAACCUGCCUUUCAGAGGGGGACAACAGUUGGAAACGACUGCUAAUACCGCAUGACACAUAGAGAUCGCAUGGUUUUUAUGUCAAAGAUUUAUCGCUGAAAGAUGGCCUCGCGUCUGAUUAGCUAGUUGGUGAGGUAACGGCCCACCAAGGCGACGAUCAGUAGCCGGACUGAGAGGUUGACCGGCCACAUUGGGACUGAGAUACGGCCCAGACUCCUACGGGGAGCAGCAGU
rnacentral:rRNA from 1 species